CAGCCGCCGCGGGAAAACGAAGGGGGCUAGCGUUGUUCGGAUUUACUGGGCGUAAAGCGCACGUAGGCGGAUCCUUAAGUCAGAGGUGAAAUCCCAAGGCUCAACCUUGGAACUGCCUUUGAUACUGGGGAUCUCGAGUUCGGGAGAGGUGAGCGGAACUGCGAGUGUAGAGGUGAAAUUCGUAGAUAUUCGCAAGAACACCAGUGGCGAAGGCGGCUCACUGGCCCGAUACUGACGCUGAGGUGCGAAAGCGUGGGGAGCAAACAGGAUUAGAUACCCCUGUAGUCCCUGUCUCUUAUAC
rnacentral:rRNA from 1 species